UAUCGUGCAUAGGUGUGCCUCCCCUUCCUCUCGCUCACCCCAAACCAUCCUUCCCUAAUCUCGAAUACUGUAGUAGGUCCUGCGGCGGCACUCGUUUGCACCGGCGGAAUUUGGAAUUGAAGAUGCUGGGCUUGAGUUCCUGCUCGAUGCUGUCGAUAGCUUUCAGGUUCCCACAGUGGGAGGAGUUUUGCUGGGUCUGGGUGCGGCCAGCAGAUCGGCUGCGCUGGUCCAAAGAGGACGCAGGUGGGGGUUAGCCGGCGACCAGAUGCAUCUCCGACUCCGACCCGGUUGGCACAAUCAACCGACAGGGUCAACCCGGAGGCCCCUGGUUGGACAAAAAGGUUACGCCUCUGCAAUGCAUCACCGGACCGGACACCAUGUCCUUCUAGGAUGAUUGCACUGGAGCAAUGGAUUCAAAAGUACGCAGAGGAACCUACAAAAAGCGAAAUACGGCCCUCACUCGGACUGCAAACAUGGGAAAAAUUAUGCAUUGAAAAACUAAAGCUUAAUUAGGAAUGAACUAGAACUGAUAAGUGUGUUCAAUGGCUGACCAGAACAGAUCUAUGGAGGUGGCAAUAAACAAAGUUUAUCCGGACAGUGUGCACCGGUGGUGCAAAUGGCAUGUACUGAAGAAGGUAAAGGAGAGCUUGGUCCCCUGUACACGAAGAAAGCGAGUUCCAAGCUGAAUUCUGUAAGGUGGUAAACCACAUGUUAAAUGAAGAUGAGUUUGAGACGGCAUGGGGUAUGCUGCUUGGUAAGUACUCCAUCCGUCCGGAAAUACUUGUCCAACGACAAGUAUUUCCGGACGGAGGGAGUACAACUUGAGGAAGCACCGGUACAUGACCCAGAUCUACGAAAUAAGCAGAAAAUGGUCAAAAGCAUACUUCAAGGAUUUUUUUUUGCGCCAAGAUGACAAGCAAACAAUGCAGCAAGAGGGUGAACCGCAUGUUGAAGAAGUACAUGCCUCUUGCUAGCCCGAUGCACGCCUUUGUGAGGCAGUACAUGAGGUUGCAGUUUGACCGUGAGCGUGAGGAAAGCUACGAGGAUAAGAGGACGAUGAUCUUAAGUCCAAUACGUUUCUUUGCCUAGUUUUAGUGCCAACCACCAUGAUCACCUACCCGACGCACCGCCACGUCUUGUUACUCUUGUAUUUCUCUGGUUUGCAUCUUUUAAAAAUGAGUUCUGUUUUGACAGGGUGGAGUUGUUAGGAGAACGAAUUUGGCAAUUGAGCGACACGCAAGCAAGAUUUAUACGAGGGCUGUGUUUAGGAGUUCAGUCAGCUACUAACUAAAAGCACGGCAUAAAAUGUCGCGGCGGUGGAGAAGAUGAUGAAGUAUGUCACAGCGCACAACAAAGAGGCGAAGAGGGAAAAAAUGGAACAGAGUUGUGUACGAGGUUACAGUAAACGAGGACAAGUUGGGAGUUUAAGUGCGUGUGUGGACAAUUUGAGCACACCAGAAUGUUAUGAUGCCACGUCUUGAGGUCAUUGCUGUACUUCAUUUGAAGGAGAUUCUUUUGAAGCUUAUUGUGAAGCUGUGGACCAAGGACGCGAGAGACAUUCUGCCCCAGCACCUGACUCAAUACCAGAAGGACCACUCAGUUAACAUGUUUUCAUUUGCAAGCAUUCAACACCAUACAUGAAAGCUAUGGAAGUCGUCAGGAUAGGAGAUGCAAGUGCAGAAUCAUUCGAGCACAUGUUAGCUGCUCUAUAUGCUUUGCUAUUGAUGGCCACAAGCGAACAACCUGUCUUGAACAAGGGGAUGCACCCAAGAAACCAUGAAAUCCGGGGAAAUGCAAGAGAACCAUGGCAUAGAAUGUCACCGCCGGAACACCGGUAUUGCUGAAAAUUUUGUUGUGAUUGGUAAGUUUGAAUUCUGUAUUCUUGUUUGCUGAGGAUUUUCUAGUGUGUUUCGGUGAGAAUUGCUCCCUGCUUGUUCCUCCAUUUUUCUGGAUGUUGGACACCCUGUAUGAGUGAGUACAAAUAUGUUAUU